CAUUUUUUUUUUUUUUGGAAAAGCAAAUUGAUAAUUAUGCUUUCAAGUGAAUAACGAAAUGUACCUUAAGAGUAUAGUAAUCUCGUUUCCGUUAAAGUUUAUCACAAGGAUAUCACUCUGACCAUCAAACCAAAAAAAAAUGAAAAAGAAAAGAAAUGAACAGCUUUAAUGUUUACAUUCUCCAUUGCAUCUUUCAUGAGGCUGAUUGUAGAAGAAAUAUCAAAACGCGGUGAUGGCAGUGUCUAGAGCAGAAGAUACGAUUUUGUUUUUCUUCCAAUAUUUAAGAUUGAAACAAGCUAGGGCGCAAAAUGCAGAUAUGCAUUCAUAGCCCGCAUCGCAUGUCACCAUUGAUAACACAGUUGAGGAAGAGUCAUGAUUUAGCAGCGGGUGACAUCCAAUCCAGUUUUUCAUAAAUUGUGAUUCUAUUCUCCAUGUCUCCCUGGCUUUAGUAUAUCUGAUAAACAGAGA